rnacentral:tRNA from 2 species
GCCGCCGUAGUUCAAUGGAUAGAACAGCGCAGUCCUAAUGCGCAGAUGUAGGUCCGAUUCCUACCGGCGGCACUA